UAGAGUUUGAUCAUGGCUCAGGAUGAACGCUAGCGACAGGCUUAACACAUGCAAGUCGAGGGGCAGCGGGGAGGUAGCAAUACUUCCGCCGGCGACCGGCGCACGGGUGAGUAACACGUAUGGAACCUGCCCGUAGCAGGGGGAUAAACGGAAGAAAUUCCGUCUAAUACCGCGUAAUAACUCCGAGAGGCAUCUCAUGGAGUUUAAAGGGUAACACCGGCUACGGAUGGCCAUGCGGCGCAUUAGCUAGUUGGCGGGGUAACGGCCCACCAAGGCGACGAUGCGUAGGGGUUCUGAGAGGAAGGUCCCCCACACUGGUACUGAGACACGGACCAGACUCCUACGGGAGGCAGCAGUGAGGAAUAUUGGUCAAUGGGCGCGAGCCUGAACCAGCCAAGUCGCGUGAGGGAAGACGGUCCUAUGGAUUGUAAACCUCUUUUGUCGGGGAGCAAAAGACGCCACGUGUGGCGUUCCGAGAGUACCCGAAGAAAAAGCAUCGGCUAACUCCGUGCCAGCAGCCGCGGUAAUACGGAGGAUGCGAGCGUUAUCCGGAUUUAUUGGGUUUAAAGGGUGCGCAGGCGGAAGAUCAAGUCAGCGGUAAAAUUGAGAGGCUCAACCUCUUCGAGCCGUUGAAACUGGUUUUCUUGAGUGAGCGAGAAGUAUGCGGAAUGCGUGGUGUAGCGGUGAAAUGCAUAGAUAUCACGCAGAACUCCGAUUGCGAAGGCAGCAUACCGGCGCUCAACUGACGCUCAUGCACGAAAGUGUGGGUAUCGAACAGGAUUAGAUACCCUGGUAGUCCACACAGUAAACGAUGAAUACUAAUUGUUCGGGGAGAAUGAUCCCUGAGUGAUACAGCGAAAGCGUUAAGUAUUCCACCUGGGGAGUACGCCGGCAACGGUGAAACUCAAAGGAAUUGACGGGGGCCCGCACAAGCGGAGGAACAUGUGGUUUAAUUCGAUGAUACGCGAGGAACCUUACCCGGGCUCAAACGACACAGGAAUACUUUUGAAAGGAGGUAGCUCUACGGAGUCUGUGUCGAGGUGCUGCAUGGUUGUCGUCAGCUCGUGCCGUGAGGUGUCGGCUUAAGUGCCAUAACGAGCGCAACCCCCAUCGCCAGUUACCAGCAAGUCAAGUUGGGGACUCUGGCGAGACUGCCGGCGCAAGCUGUGAGGAAGGCGGGGAUGACGUCAAAUCAGCACGGCCCUUACGUCCGGGGCGACACACGUGUUACAAUGGCAGGUACAGAGAGAAGCAAUGCGGCGACGCAAAGCGGAACUUGAAAGCCUGUCUCAGUUCGGAUUGGAGUCUGCAACUCGACUCCAUGAAGCUGGAUUCGCUAGUAAUCGCGCAUCAGCCAUGGCGCGGUGAAUACGUUCCCGGGCCUUGUACACACCGCCCGUCAAGCCAUGGAAGCCGGGAGUGCCUGAAGUGUGCAACCGCAAGGAGCGCCCUAAGGUAAAACUGGUGACUGGGGCUAAGUCGUAACAAGGUAACCA
rnacentral:rRNA from 1 species